GACAGAGGGUGCAAACGUUGCUCGGAAUUACUGGGCGUAAAGCGCGUGUAGGCGGACCUGUAAGUUGGACGUGAAAAGCCCUGGGCUCAACCCAGGAAUUGCAUCCAAAACUACAGGCCUAGAGUGAUGGAGAGGGUAGCAGAAUUCCUGGUGUAGAGGUGAAAUUCGUAGAUAUCAGGAGGAACACCAAUUGCGAAGGCAGCUCGCUGGGACGUGACUGACGCUGAGACGCGAAAGCGUGGGGAGCAAACAGGG
rnacentral:rRNA from 1 species